rnacentral:misc_RNA from 1 species
GAAAUGCGAUAAGUAAUGUGAAUUGCAGAAUUCAGUGUAGCAUUGAAUCUUUAAACGCACAUUGUGCCCGCCAGUAUUCUGGCGGGGAUGCCUGUUCGAUCGUCAUUUCACCCAUCAAGCCCCCGGGCUUGUGUUGGUGACCCUGCGGCUGCCCGCAGGCCCUGAAAUGCAGUGGCGGGCUCGCUGUCCACACCGAGCGUAGUAGCAUUACCCCUCGCUCAGGGCGUGCGGCGUGCUCCGGCCGUUAAACGCGACCUUAACGCAUACCAAGGUUGACCUCGGAUCAGGUAGGAAGACCCGCUGAACUUAA